rnacentral:lncRNA from 1 species
AAUGUCACAUUUGUCUGAAUUUGUCAUGUCAAAUGUUGAGAAGCUGUCAAUUUCAGGAUAAAAAUAUUUAUCCACAUAUUUUAAAAUAAUUAUAAAGCCACUAAAAUGCUACAAAUUUAUUAGUUAAUAAUGUAUAGGCGUCGAUAUCUUUAUUGAAGAAAUGUGUAUUACACGAAAAGGCCGCCAUUUGAUGAGUUUUCUAACAUCGUCGAUAUUCAAUACACGUUAGUAUAACCUAUUGGUACAUAAAACUUCAUUAUAGAACAAGACAAGACCACAAUAGAUCUGAGAAGGUCGCAGUGGGUCAGGGCGAUAUCAACCUCUAGAAAUCUAAUCUAGAACAAGACAAAGACCUUACUUGCAAACUACCAUACAUAUCUUUUAAAAAGGAUGCUAAGUUUUAGUUUUCAACAUUUUGCAGUAAGAAGUUUAGAUAAAU